AGCGCAGGCGGGAAGACAAGUUGGGAGUGAAAUCUAUGGGCUCAACCCAUAAACUGCUUUCAAAACUGUUUUUCUUGAGUAGUGCAGAGGUAGGCGGAAUUCCCGGUGUAGCGGUGGAAUGCGUAGAUAUCGGGAGGAACACCAGUGGCGAAGGCGGCCUACUGGGCACCAACUGACGCUGAGGCUCGAAAGUGUGGGUAGCAAACA
rnacentral:rRNA from 1 species